rnacentral:rRNA from 3 species
AUUCCGGUUGAUCCUGCCGGAGGCCAUUGCUAUCGGAGUCCGAUUUAGCCAUGCUAGUCGCACGAGUUCAGACUCGUGGCAUAUAGCUCAGUAACACGUGGCCAAACUACCCUACAGACCGCGAU